GUGAGGAAUAUUGGUCAAUGGGCGGGAGCCUGAACCAGCCAAGUCGCGUGAAGGAAGAAGGAUCUAUGGUUCGUAAACUUCUUUUGCAGGGGAAUAAAGUGCAGGACGUGUCCUGUUUUGUAUGUACCCUGAGAAUAAGGAUCGGCUAACUCCGUGCCAGCAGCCGCGGUAAUACGGAGGAUCCGAGCGUUAUCCGGAUUUAUUGGGUUGAAAGGGUGCGUAGGUGGUUUGAUAAGUCAGCGGUGAAAGUUUGCAGCUUAACUGUAAAAAUGCCGUUGAAACUGUCGGGCUUGAGUGUAAAUGAGGUAGGCGGAAUGCGUGGUGUAGCGGUGAAAUGCAUAGAUAUCACGCAGAACUCCGAUUGCGAAGGCAGCUUACGAAGCUACAACUGACACUGAAGCACGAAAGCGUGGGGAUCAAACAGGAUUAGAAACCCGGGUAGUCC
rnacentral:rRNA from 1 species